GUUGGGGAGGAAAAAACCUGUGGGCUAGUCUCUUGUCUGCCUGCCUGUGCUACUAGGAAGAAGGAAGAGCAGUAGGGGUCAAGGUGCUACUGCUCAGGAAGAUGAAACUCCUAUUCCUGCUGAUAGAGAUGUGGAUGAUUCUUGAGGUCACAGUAAAAAGGAUACUGGAUUAAUGGAACAAUCCUAUUCACAGGAAGCUGACAUUCUAAUGAAGAAGACAAGUGCAUACAUAGAAGUAAUGAGGUAAGAUCUUCAGCUGAGAAAGAUGAAGGAGAAGGAAGUAGGAGGGAUUUGAGCAGGGAAGAGAAGAUUUGGAAUGGCCUCUGUGGGGAUGAAGAUAAGAAAUCAAUUAGGGAGGAUUAAAAGACUGCCUUAAUGAUA